AUGAACGGGACGAACAAGGAUGAUGAAAGUGACGACAAUGAGGAGGAGGAGGAUGAUGAUGAGAGGAAGAACAAGGGGAAGAGCAAGGGGGCUGAUGAUGUGAUGAAGAGAAAGAAGGAGGAUGUGGAUGUGAUGAAGGGGAAGAAGAAGGAGGAUGACAAUGGUAAUAGCCCCGGCAGAUGCAAAUCCGUAGAGGAGGAGGUCGGUGGGGAGGACGACGGAAACAGCACUCACGACGACAGUUCUGAUGCCAAUGCUGACGAAGAGGAGUCUGACGACACUACAGAGACAGAGGAGGAGGAGGAGGAGGAGGAGGAGCAGGAGGCGGAGGAGGAAGAAGAAGAAGAAUCUGACGAGGCAGAGCAGGACCGGCGUGUCGCGCCUAGACGCAACGGCGAGGCAGGGCAGGACCAGCGUGUCGCGCCUCGCAGCACCGGCGAGGCCGGUGGGAGGGCCAGACCAGCCGUCGAGGGCUUGCCAAGAAUCAGAAAGAGGAGAUUCGAGGGGUUGUGGAUCGUCGAGGAGCCCGACACCACCGCCCCCCCUCCCGGCCGGGGUCUCAUCAGUGAGCGGACACGGUCGCAGCUGAGCUGCUCCAACAAGAAACUGCUGAAACGUGGUACUGUAAGCAGGCCGGUCCUGCUCGACACAUCUUCCUCCGGCUCCGAGCCAGAGGAAGCCGUGCCACCGCCUCAGCCAACCAGCUGGGCGGCCGAGGACGACAGCGCCGGCGAAGACAGAAGGCCGGCGAAUAGGAAGAAGAAGAGACGGUGCCGGGAGCAGAUCGGCCAAGGCGGGCGCUCAGAGGAAGAGGACGACCACAACGACGACCCAGACGCUGAACCUGACGACGACAGAACGUUCCCAUGGAACGCCAGGAAGGGGCCGAGCUCAAGCCGGCCGAAGACCGGAGCGUCAAACCGGCAGCAGUCCGCUGCCAAAGAACGUGGCAAAACCCACGCUGGCUCUUCUACCAACCCACGACGCGCCAAGAAUCGCGCUGCGAACACAGCAGAGGGGCGCGGUCUGCAGGAUGACAUUUCCUUCAAGAAAAGCUCCCUGUCUCAUCGCAAGAGGAAGCAUCCGGAGGAGGAGGACAUCCCUUGCAAUGAUCGACUCUCCUCCUUAUUCGACGGGAUACCGAGCUACCGGAAUGGCUCUGCUCCUGCCGAUGCACAGGGCGGCGGCAGCGACACGAUGCCUCUGGUGUUCAAGUUCGGGGAGGAAGCAGAAGUGAAAUCAGAGCAUGACGAGCUUGAGGAUCAACUGUGGGGAGACUACGAUUUUGUCCUUGAAGCCAACAAUGCCAAUGCUCACAGCUCCGAGGAGGGGCAAGAUAUUCCAUCAGACCAAAAAACUUUAAGCAGUCAAGGGAAGCAUGAUUUAUUUACCGAUGACCAAAUUGGAACUUGGUGCAAGCACUGCGGCUUUGUUCUUGAAAUUAAAUAUGUAAUGGCCCCUAUGGGGAAUUAUUCAGCGGAAAGGGAACCAACGGCUCGCGAGCUGAACAUGGAUAAUAUUAUUUUUAAUGGCAUCUUAACAACAAUGGGGUAUGAAGGAGAGUACAUCACUGGUAGUCAUAAAAGUGGCCCUGUAUGGAAUCUCAUUCCUGGUAUCCGAGAAGACAUGUUCCCACACCAGCAGGAAGCCUUUCAUAUUGUGAAAACUGAUACUCUAAGUGGCUGUGUGAUCUCUCACGCCCCAGGGACGGGGAAGACCAGAUUAGCGAUCACAUUUGUUCAAUCUUACCUCGAGGUUUUCCCGCAGUGUUUUCCGGUCAUCAUUGCCCCCAAGGGGAUGCUUGACACAUGGGAAACUGAGUUCAGGAAAUGGAAUGUGAAGAUACCUUUCCACAUACUGAAUUCCAGAGAUAUCCACUGGCAUGGAGAUAAAACGGUCGAAAAACUGGCCUCGAAUGAUAAGGAUUUGGCCCGAAGGCUGUCCAUAAGCAGCAUUGACAAGAAUUAUAUGCGCGCGCUGAAAUUGCGAUCGUGGGCUGAGGGGAGUAGAAUCAUUGGACUAAGCUACAGCCUGUUCCAGAAGCUCACCAAAGGAGAAGGCAAUGAUGAUGACAAGCUGAGGCAGAUGCUUCUUCAAAGGCCUGACUUGCUGAUCCUUGAUGAAGGACACACGCCAAGGAACAAGGAGAGCAAUAUUUUUAAGGCUCUUGCUGAAGUUCGUACAAAAAGGAGAAUUAUCCUAUCCGGAACUCCUUUUCAAAAUAACUUUGAAGAGCUUCGGAGCAUGUUUAGCCUGUUACUUCUGGCAAAUUUUGAAGCCAUGGAUUUCUUUCCUUCUUCGAAACUACACAACAUGACAGAUGUGAUGGUAGACGAGAUCAGGAAAAAAUUGGACCCUUUUGUGCACAUCCAUAAUGGCGACAUUCUUCAUAAAUCCCUCAAAGGACUAAGAGAAUCUGUUGUGAUUCUGAAUCCUCUUCCCAGCCAGAAGAGGAUAAUCGCAAUGAUGGAGAAACAUAAAACACGUGGCAAACAUCCUCAGAAAAAUAAGACACAGGGCAGCACUUUUGAGUCGGAAUACAAGAUAUCUCUUGCGUCUGUACAUCCGUCCCUCGUUGCUGGCAUGGAAAAGUUGCCAAAAGAAGUAAAAUCUGUUGUGGACGAGCUUCCAUUGGAGAGGUUACGGCUGAAGCCAAGUGAAGGAGUUAAGACGAGGUUUGUGUACGAGGUUGUGCGUUUAUGUCAAGCUUUAAAAGAGCGAGUGCUUGUGUUUAGCCAGUUUCUUGAACCAUUGGAGUUGAUGAUGCAACAACUGAGGAAUGAGUUCAACUGGACCAAAGGCAAAGAGAUCAUGUAUAUGAGUGGAAAUGUCUCCCCUAAAACCCGCAAAACCUUGAUGGUGGCCUUCAAUGAUGUGGAGAGCGAGGCCAACGUGAUGCUUGCAUCGACCAAGGCGUGUGGAGAAGGUAUCACCCUCGUUGGAGCAUCGCGUGUGGUGCUCCUUGAUGUUGUGUGGAACCCUUCUGUUGGAAGGCAGGCGAUUGGACGUGCAUAUCGUAUUGGUCAACAAAAGAUUGUCCAUACAUACAAUCUAAUCGCAAAAGGAACACAAGAGAAGGCCAAAUAUGACACACAAGCUAAGAAGGACCAAAUGUCCAAAUUGCUAUUUUCAAGUGAGCCACAGCCUGCAGAGUGCAGCCGGUCAUCAGAAUUUAUUUCCAAUGACAGGAUUUUGGAACAGAUGACUGAAGAUGAAGAUCUGAAAGAGAUGUUUGUGAGUAUUCUCCCGUCGCAGUGGUGA
rnacentral:rRNA from 1 species